rnacentral:rRNA from 1 species
CCAGACUCCUACGGGAGGCAGCAGUAGGGAAUCUUUCACAAUGGGCGAAAGCCUGAUGGAGCAACGCCGCGUGCAGGAUGAAGGCCUUCGGGUUGUAAACUGCUUUUAUAAGCGAGAAAUAUGAUGGUAACUUAUGAAUAAGCCACGGCUGACUACGUGCCAGCAGCCGCGGUAAUACGUAGGUGGCAAGCGUUAUCCGGAUUUACUGGGUGUAAAGGGCGUGUAGGCGGGAAAGCAAGUCAGAUGUGAAAUCCUAUGGCUUAACCAUAGAACUGCAUUUGAAACUGUUAUUCUAGAGUAUGGGAGAGGUAGGUGGAAUUCUUGGUGUAGGGGUAAAAUCCGUAGAGAUCAAGAGGAAUACUCAUUGCGAAGGCGACCUGCUAGAACAUAACUGACGCUGAUGCGCGAAAGCGUGGGGAGCAAACAGGAUUAGAUACCCCCGUA